rnacentral:lncRNA from 1 species
UUCUGGGAACGUGAACGACAUUUCGUGAAGCUUCCAUACAAGGAGAGAUGGAAAAUGCCCCAUCAGACUGCAUCACAUUUUGGCAAUGCCCAAUGAUAAAGAAGUAUGCAAACAAUAGAUCAAUUCCUUGAUAAAAUUAGGAUUGAUCAGACCAUCCUAGUUUCCUUGGGCACGUCCAGCCUUCUAUGUCAAAAAACAUUAGAACAAGUCCGGGAAAAAUAAAGAGAUUGGUUAUCAAUUACAGAAAAUGGAAUGAUUGCCUCCAAGACAUAUGGUAUCCAAUCCCUCUAAGAGAUCAUCUGUUGAAGACUAAAACGUUGUUCUCGAGUGUUCUUAGUCACAAACGGAGAAAUUCCAAGGUAAUCCAGUGUCCUCGAAAUCCCUGCAUCAUCAAAACAUCCCUCAUCAGAAUCUGCACCCGCUUUAGCUCCGUUGGAUGGCAUCUUCUCCUCCAGCGCGUCCCUCCUUUCUCCUUCUCCGUUAUACAGCGUCUCAUCCUCUCCUUCUCCUGGGUAUUUUUUUCAUCUCUAUUUUUCCUCAAAUCUGACUUUUUUAUUUUUUAUAUAUAUCGGGUUUUUUUCGUUUUUGAACGAUUCUGAUAGGUUUUUGAGGUUUAGCUGAAUAUGGGGAAAUCGAGAGCUGCUGCUCCCUAAAAAGCUGAUGCGAAGUGAGCUUUCGUUUUCGUUCUCCGUUUUGCUCUCCUUUUUUAUUGUACAGCACGAAACAGCCAAGGAUCAUGCACGAGUCCCCACCUUAGGUUAUCCGUCUUCCGUACCAUCAAUCUCUUCCCCAAGCUUCAGUAAUUUGUUUGUGUGCUUGCAUUUUCUGAUUGCUUUUAGAGGAAAGAUGAGAAAAUUUUAAAGCAGGGGUUUGUUUUGGAAUUAGGAUUUUAGUUUGUUUAUAUAAUCUUUGAUGCAAAAGUUUAAAAGGGUAUGUUUUAUUAAUUGAAAGAUAGCGAACAAAAUGGAAAUUUUGGGGUGAGUUCGUUGUGUUUUGGUUUAGUCUUUCGGGAACGUGGUGGGGUUAUCUAGAAUACUGUUGUUGGUUGUGAUGUAAAAUACAAGAGCGACAAGAGAGAUCAUUCACGCACUUCAUCGCAUUGGUUGUCAAUUGAAUACGGAAUAAUUUAUUCAAAUUACAAAAUAUUUUGAGUCAAUCACCAAUUUGUGCUUCUAAACUUUUAGCAGGGGAUGUGUAGCAAAACUCUGGCCAAAAAACACUACACCAAAAUUUCCACCUUCAACUACAUGGUUUUAAACCCAAGCAAUGGAAAACGCAAAAGCAACUUUUACCAGAAAAUGUUGAGCUCUUCCAUGCCUGCUACCAUCUUUUACAACAACUAUUAGUAAAUGUGAUUUCUGUGUAAUUUGCACCUCGCAGGUUGCUCUUGAAUAAAAAAGGAUUAGAUGCCGUUGCUACAGUUGAUUCGACCCCCAGGAUUCAAACUCUCAACGUCCAUCUCCACACAAGUUUAAAC